rnacentral:snoRNA from 1 species
CUGCACAGAGAACACCCACUGGUGCUGGUGUACCUCCCCUGGUCUCCAUAUCUGUGCUACAGUGAAGUGUGGUCUGUUACCUCUGUCUUCUACAGGUAUUCAGCAGACCAGCACAACU